rnacentral:rRNA from 1 species
CGCAUGGGCGAAAGCCUGAUCCAGCCAUGCCGCGUGAGGGAUGAAGGCCUUCGGGUUGUAAGCUCUUUUUUUAGGGAAGAAAAUAUCUGACCUUACUUAGGAUACUAUGCACCGGCUAACUCCGUGCCACCCGCCGCGGAAAUCAGCAGGC